CCAGCCAGCGCGCCCCCUGGCGACCAGGCCGCGCGAGGUCCGCGGCCGCGCCAGACCAUAGAGAUGGCGUGGGCCAGAGCGUCUGGAGUCGCUGCGGCGGGAGCGGGGGACCCGAGGCCCUUGGCUGUCCUCAUCCCGGGCCGCGGGAGCGAGCGCUGCGGCUGGACGGAGGGGCUUCGGGUGGCCGAUCCCGCGGAUGAGCGCCGCUCUAGAAACAAGCAAAAACAAAGUUCAGGGGAAGAGACCGAAUGGAGGAAACUACGGUGUCUUCGUUGCCGCUUCCGGGUGGGAUGGCACCUGCGGUGGAGGAGGGAUUGAAGUGCCUUUGAGAACUUUAGCGGGAGGUGGGUUAUUCCGAAGGAAUUUGGCCCCAGGUUAUCGGAGCAGAGGGAUAAUUGCGGGUUUUAGGAUCCAGACGUGGUACGGGUGAAAAUGCUUCGUGCUUGCUUGAAGUUAAACCCGGCGGGGGAACGAUUGUUCCCACUGAACGUUCCCACAGGAGAACCCUUGGAGACACUACCUUUCCCACAGAAUUUCAUUCAAGGAGCUCAAAGGAAAUCUUUUGAAAAGGUACCAUCUACCUGGAGGGCAUCAUCCUGAGUGAGGUAACCCAAUCACAAAAGAACUCGCACAAUAUGUACUCACUGAUAAGUGGAUAUUAGCCCAGUGCUUAGAAUACCCAAGAUACAAGAUACAAUUUGCAAAACACAUGAAACUCAAGAAGAACGAAGACCAAAGUGGUUGUCUUUCUCUUGGAAAACCAACCUAUUAACUGUUAUUACUAUUUGCCUCAAGAUCUAGAAUUUAACUGCUAAGAUCCAACUGUAAUUGAUGACCCAAGGGAACAACCUACAGGCUGUCUCUGAAAUGAAGACUGGGGAAUGGAAGAGAAUCAGAGUUCUACGUCAUCUUUGCCUACAUACGAGUUCAAAAAGAUUCUGGUCAAAAAAGAUCACAAACAAUAAAACCACAUUUGUUGUCUGUCAAGAUUAGC
rnacentral:lncRNA from 1 species